GCUGGGAAGAUCAAGGAUCGAAAUUUUCUCUGGGGUUUUCUAAUUGUGUGACGCUAUACAGGAACUUCUUUAUGUUAAAAGCUAGCCUGGUUCUCAGUAAGUCGAGCUCUUUAUAAGGAAACGUGUGCCGUCAACUUGAGGGGUGGAUCAGGCCGCGCCCAGAAUUCAGCAGCGGACGGGGCUGGGGGGAGGUCCCCGUAGGGAUCCUGCCGUCCAAGGUGGAGAUCCAGCCCCUUGCAGCCACUUUGGAACAUGAGGGCUGAAGAAGGACCGGAACGUAACGCGCGGCUCAGCGCUGCCAGCGGGCUGCCAACUCGCCCUUUCUAUGAUACAGUAACCCAGGGCUGGCACAGAGAGGACGCCCGUAAGGCAAGACCCCCUUGCAAAUAAUUUAGACCCAGUAUAAACUGAUUAACCCCAGCGCCUAAUACUUACAAAGUGCCUACUUUUUCUGUUGGCACAAUUCUGCAACUGGACGCGAUGCUCGUUAAAUGGAUCUCCACUCUUCAACAGUCAAAAGCUGACCUCUCUUCUCAGAAUAUAUAUUUCUAUCUGGGCAAUUUUAUCAAAUUCAGAAUAUUGUUCAUGAAGGAAAGAUGGGAUCUUUGAAACUAAAGAUCUGAAGGAUAAAGGAGAUGGAUAUCUUCUACAUGUUCUUCUGUCAAUCCCACCUGCCGUUCACGAAAUCAGAUUCGUCCUCGAGAUGCUGUUGAUACAUAAGAAGUGCAGUCGUCACCUUACCCUCAUCUCCAUCACCGAGAAGAUAAAGAGCAUCUUAAGUUAAGAGAGGCUCUCUGCAGCCCUCCCCCAGGCCUUCCUCAGGUGCGGCCCCUUCACCCCCGGAGCCGACAGUGGAUGGACGGGUACAUAGGGAGCUGAUUUUUAAUGCCGGGACCUCUGGUCUCAUCUAAUUAAUGUGUGAAACUCCACUUUCCUAAAACACUUUCCUUUGCUCACAGCUUUUGACAUAUACGAUGAAUGUAAAUUUAUACUGUCCUUAGCCACUGGAAACAACACAAAUGAAGAGCUUGAUGACUUAUCAGUAAAAGAGUCAGGGCAACAGAAGGCAUUGGCUUUCUGAUAAAAGACACGAGUGAGAGCUAUUUAAGAAGACACAGCUCAGAGCUGAUGGUGUGAGGACAAUACCCGUAUCUUUCAAGACUGCAUUUCUGGUUGCUGACCAUGUCUGUCCAGUUUCACCUCCUAUCUGUCUUGAUACCCUCCUACCUUCAGUCCAGGCCACUCUUCUAGCCUGUGAUGUGCAGACCCCCACAGGUACACACGCCCACUGCACUGAUUUCUAUGGGUGUUCGGGGCAGGCUUACGUGAUUUGUGGCUUUGGCGGCCUGACUUGGGUUUUGCCCUUGAGAAAAACUUGGGUUCUGACGUGUGUAUCUAGUAAAUGAAGCAUGUUAAUGGCAUAAUUGGUACACAGUGGAUCAUGCUGUAACCCU